CAGUGAUCUCCAUCCUCCAGCAUCCCUACAGGGAUUAGAAUCUCAAGGCAUGAUCCGUAAAAAACUAAAUCAAAGAAUCAUUUGGAAAGAACAAACCGAUAGAGCAAACUUAUAAUGCCGAAGAAUAAAUGGCUAAUUGGUUUUGUUUAUCAAUAAAGAUUGAGUUGCCUGCUUCAUA